CUCUUUCUCGAUUCAGAGGAUGGUGGUGCAUGGCCGUUCUUAGUUGGUGGAGUGAUCUGUCUGGUUAAUUCCGAUAACGAACGAGACUCUCCCCUGCUAACUAGUCGGUUGGAUCUUCUCACGCAUAUCUUUAUCCAUGCGAGUGGUGCUUCCGGUUCAGCUCGUGAGUACCCGGGCGUGCGCGUGUGGGUGUGUGUUUCGCCGUACCUCGUGUGCGGUGUGCGCGCGCUCGCUCGCCGCGCGUUCGGCAAAGCGGGUCCCGGUUGUGUACACUCGAAGUCCACCGCCAAUGUGUUCUAAAUCUUCUUAGAGGGAUCCACGGCUCUGAAGCCGUAAGAGACUGAGAGCAAUAACAGGUCUGUGAUGCCCUUAGAUGCCCUGGGCCGCACGCGCGCUACAAUGCCGGACGCAGCAGGCUAUUUCCCUACUCCGAGAGGAGCGGGCAACCCUCUGAAAGUCCUCACUCGAUUAUGCAUAUCUCUUUACGUGGCGUUCGCGUGUGCGCGUCGUGUCCUUCACGGGGUGCGGCGUGUAUCGCGCGUCGCUACACGGCGUGCUAGGGCCUGGGGCUUGCAAUUCUUUCCCACAAACGAGGAAUGCCUAGUAGCGGCGAGUCACUGAGCUUGCUACGGCUUAGUCCCUGCCCUUUGUACACACCGCCCGUCGCUACUACCGAUUGGGUGUACCAGUGAGAGCCUUGGACUGGCGUCCU
rnacentral:rRNA from 1 species